AUUACAUCGACGAGUAAUACAACGUAGAUUGACGAAAAAAUAGUCAAGUAACUACGCGUUAUCAAAGAUUACUCAAAAAGUAGUUAUCAGAUCUCGAUAAAAUUUAUAUGUGACCACAUAAUAAACAUCAGCUUUCGAUUAAAUUAAAAAUUAUCAAAAUCGGUACACCCAGUAAAAAGUUAUUGUGGAUUUUCGAGAGUUUCCCUCGAUUUCUCUAGGAUCCCAUCAUCAGAUCCUGGUUUCCUUAUCAUGGUACCAAACUAGGGAUAUCCCCUAUCCAACAAAAAAAGAAUUAUCAAAAUCGGUACAUCCAGUAGAAAGUUAUGCGGUAUAAUACAACGUAGGUCGACGAAAAAAGCGUCAAGUAAAAACGCAUUAUUACAUAUAACUCGAAAAGUAGUUGUUAGAUCUCAAAUAAAUUUAAAUGGGACCAAAUGACACAUACCACCUUUCGAUUAAAAGAAAAUUUGUCGAAAUCGGUCCACCCAGUCAAAAGUUCUGAAGUAACAUACAUUAAAAAAAAAUAC
rnacentral:misc_RNA from 1 species